CAGCAGCCGCGGGAAUGCGUAGGUGGCAAGCGUUGUCCGGAAUUAUUGGGCGUAAAGGGCUCGCAGGCGGUUUCUUAAGUCUGAUGUGAAAGCCCCCGGCUCAACCGGGGAGGGUCAUUGGAAACUGGGAAACUUGAGUGCAGAAGAGGAGAGUGGAAUUCUACGUGUAGCAGUGAAAUGCGUAGAGAUGUGGAGGAACACCAGUGGCGAAGGCGACUCUCUGGUCUGUAACUGACGCUGAGGAGCGAAAGCGUGGGGAGCGAACAGGAUUAGAUACCCGGGUAGUCCCUGUCUCUUAUAC
rnacentral:rRNA from 1 species